GGGUUGUGAGGUUAAGCGACUAAGCGUACACGGUGGAUGCCCUGGCAGUCAGAGGCGAUGAAGGACGUGCUAAUCUGCGAUAAGCGUCGGUGAGGUGAUAUGAACCGUUAUAACCGGCGAUUUCCGAAUGGGGAAACCCAGUGUGUUUCGACACACUAUCAUUAACUGAAUCCAUAGGUUAAUGAGGCGAACCGGGGGAACUGAAACAUCUAAGUACCCCGAGGAAAAGAAAUCAACCGAGAUUCCCCCAGUAGCGGCGAGCGAACGGGGAGGAGCCCAGAGCCUGAAUCAGUGUGUGUGUUAGUGGAAGCGUCUGGAAAGGCGCGCGAUACAGGGUGACAGCCCCGUACACAAAAAUGCACAUAUUGUGAGCUCGAUGAGUAGGGCGGGACACGUGGUAUCCUGUCUGAAUAUGGGGGGACCAUCCUCCAAGGCUAAAUACUCCUGACUGACCGAUAGUGAACCAGUACCGUGAGGGAAAGGCGAAAAGAACCCCGGCGAGGGGAGUGAAAAAGAACCUGAAACCGUGUACGUACAAGCAGUGGGAGCCUCUUUAUGGGGUGACUGCGUACCUUUUGUAUAAUGGGUCAGCGACUUAUAUUCUGUAGCAAGGUUAACCGAAUAGGGGAGCCGAAGGGAAACCGAGUCUUAACUGGGCGUUAAGUUGCAGGGUAUAGACCCGAAACCCGGUGAUCUAGCCAUGGGCAGGUUGAAGGUUGGGUAACACUAACUGGAGGACCGAACCGACUAAUGUUGAAAAAUUAGCGGAUGACUUGUGGCUGGGGGUGAAAGGCCAAUCAAACCGGGAGAUAGCUGGUUCUCCCCGAAAGCUAUUUAGGUAGCGCCUCGUGAAUUCAUCUCCGGGGGUAGAGCACUGUUUCGGCAAGGGGGUCAUCCCGACUUACCAACCCGAUGCAAACUGCGAAUACCGGAGAAUGUUAUCACGGGAGACACACGGCGGGUGCUAACGUCCGUCGUGAAGAGGGAAACAACCCAGACCGCCAGCUAAGGUCCCAAAGUCAUGGUUAAGUGGGAAACGAUGUGGGAAGGCCCAGACAGCCAGGAUGUUGGCUUAGAAGCAGCCAUCAUUUAAAGAAAGCGUAAUAGCUCACUGGUCGAGUCGGCCUGCGCGGAAGAUGUAACGGGGCUAAACCAUGCACCGAAGCUGCGGCAGCGACACUAUGUGUUGUUGGGUAGGGGAGCGUUCUGUAAGCCUGUGAAGGUGGCCUGUGAGGGUUGCUGGAGGUAUCAGAAGUGCGAAUGCUGACAUAAGUAACGAUAAAGCGGGUGAAAAGCCCGCUCGCCGGAAGACCAAGGGUUCCUGCCCAACGUUAAUCGGGGCAGGGUGAGUCGACCCCUAAGGCGAGGCCGAAAGGCGUAGUCGAUGGGAAACAGGUUAAUAUUCCUGUACUUGGUGUUACUGCGAAGGGGGGACGGAGAAGGCUAUGUUGGCCGGGCGACGGUUGUCCCGGUUUAAGCGUGUAGGCUGGUUUUCCAGGCAAAUCCGGAAAACCAAGGCUGAGGCGUGAUGACGAGGCACUACGGUGCUGAAGCGACAAAUGCCCUGCUUCCAGGAAAAGCCUCUAAGCAUCAGGUAACAUCAAAUCGUACCCCAAACCGACACAGGUGGUCAGGUAGAGAAUACCAAGGCGCUUGAGAGAACUCGGGUGAAGGAACUAGGCAAAAUGGUGCCGUAACUUCGGGAGAAGGCACGCUGAUAUGUAGGUGAAGCGACUUGCUCGUGGAGCUGAAAUCAGUCGAAGAUACCAGCUGGCUGCAACUGUUUAUUAAAAACACAGCACUGUGCAAACACGAAAGUGGACGUAUACGGUGUGACGCCUGCCCGGUGCCGGAAGGUUAAUUGAUGGGGUUAGCGGUAACGCGAAGCUCUUGAUCGAAGCCCCGGUAAACGGCGGCCGUAACUAUAACGGUCCUAAGGUAGCGAAAUUCCUUGUCGGGUAAGUUCCGACCUGCACGAAUGGCGUAAUGAUGGCCAGGCUGUCUCCACCCGAGACUCAGUGAAAUUGAACUCGCUGUGAAGAUGCAGUGUACCCGCGGCAAGACGGAAAGACCCCGUGAACCUUUACUAUAGCUUGACACUGAACAUUGAGCCUUGAUGUGUAGGAUAGGUGGGAGGCUUUGAAGUGUGGACGCCAGUCUGCAUGGAGCCGACCUUGAAAUACCACCCUUUAAUGUUUGAUGUUCUAACGUUGGCCCGUAAUCCGGGUUGCGGACAGUGUCUGGUGGGUAGUUUGACUGGGGCGGUCUCCUCCUAAAGAGUAACGGAGGAGCACGAAGGUUGGCUAAUCCUGGUCGGACAUCAGGAGGUUAGUGCAAUGGCAUAAGCCAGCUUGACUGCGAGCGUGACGGCGCGAGCAGGUGCGAAAGCAGGUCAUAGUGAUCCGGUGGUUCUGAAUGGAAGGGCCAUCGCUCAACGGAUAAAAGGUACUCCGGGGAUAACAGGCUGAUACCGCCCAAGAGUUCAUAUCGACGGCGGUGUUUGGCACCUCGAUGUCGGCUCAUCACAUCCUGGGGCUGAAGUAGGUCCCAAGGGUAUGGCUGUUCGCCAUUUAAAGUGGUACGCGAGCUGGGUUUAGAACGUCGUGAGACAGUUCGGUCCCUAUCUGCCGUGGGCGCUGGAGAACUGAGGGGGGCUGCUCCUAGUACGAGAGGACCGGAGUGGACGCAUCACUGGUGUUCGGGUUGUCAUGCCAAUGGCACUGCCCGGUAGCUAAAUGCGGAAGAGAUAAGUGCUGAAAGCAUCUAAGCACGAAACUUGCCCCGAGAUGAGUUCUCCCUGAGACUUAGAGUCUCCUGAAGGAACGUUGAAGACGACGACGUUGAUAGGCCGGGUGUGUAAGCGCAGCGAUGCGUUGAGCUAACCGGUACUAAUGAACCGUGAGGCUUAACCUUACAACGCCGAAGCUGUU
rnacentral:rRNA from 1 species